GAGGAAAGAGGAAAGAAUGCUUAACACAUGCAAGUCUUUGGCGAAGCUGUGCUUGCACAGCCUAGCCAAGGCGGACGGGUGAGUAACGCGUAAGGAACUUGCCCUGCAGUCAGGGAUAACAGACGGAAACGACUGAUAAGACCUGGUAAAGUCAGGCGGACUCAUGUCCAGCCUGAUGAAAAGAGAUGCUGCAGGAGAGCCUUGCGUCCUAUUAGCUUGUUGGUGGGGUAACGGCCCACCAAGGCGAUGAUAGGUAGCCGGCCUGAGAGGGUGGACGGCCACAAGGGGACUGAGAUACGGCCCUUACUCCUACGGGAGGCAGCAGUGGGGAAUAUUGGACAAUGGGGGCAACCCUGAUCCAGCAAUUCUGUGUGCACGAUGAAGGUUUUCGGAUUGUAAAGUGCUUUCAGCAGGGAAGAAAAAAAUGACGGUACCUGCAGAAGAAGCGACGGCUAAAUACGUG
rnacentral:rRNA from 1 species